rnacentral:rRNA from 1 species
GAGGAAUAUUGGUCAAUGGACGGAAGUCUGAACCAGCCAAGUAGCGUGCAGGAUGACGGCCCUAUGGGUUGUAAACUGCUUUUGUAUGGGGAUAAAGUUAGGGACGUGUCCCUAUUUGCAGGUACCAUACGAAUAAGGACCGGCUAAUUCCGUGCCAGCAGCCGCGGUAAUACGGAAGGUCCAGGCGUUAUCCGGAUUUAUUGGGUUUAAAGGGAGCGUAGGCUGGAGAUUAAGUGUGUUGUGAAAUGUAGACGCUCAACGUCUGACUUGCAGCGCAUACUGGCUUCCUUGAGUACGCACAACGUUGGCGGAAUUCGUCGUGUAGCGGUGAAAUGCUUAGAUAUGACGAAGAACUCCGAUUGCGAAGGCAGCUGACGGGAGCGCAACUGACGCUUAAGCUCGAAGGUGCGGGUAUCAAACAGGAUUAGAUACCCUGGUAGUCCGCACAGUAAACGAUGGAUGCCCGCUGUUGGUACCUGGUAUCAGCGGCUAAGCGAAAGCAUUAAGCAUCCCACCUGGGGAGUACGCCGGCAACGGUG